rnacentral:rRNA from 1 species
UAUACAUGCAGUCGAGCGAAUGGAUUAAGAGCUUGCUCUUAUGAAGUUAGCGGCGGACGGGUGAGUAACACGUGGGUAACCUGCCCAUAAGACUGGGAUAACUCCGGGAAACCGGGGCUAAUACCGGAUAACAUUUUGAACCGCAUGGUUCGAAAUUGAAAGGCGGCUUCGGCUGUCACUUAUGGAUGGACCCGCGUCGCAUUAGCUAGUUGGUGAGGUAACGGCUCACCAAGGCAACGAUGCGUAGCCGACCUGAGAGGGUGAUCGGCCACACUGGGACUGAGACACGGCCCAGACUCCUACGGGAGGCAGCAGUAGGGAAUCUUCCGCAAUGGACGAAAGUCUGACGGAGCAACGCCGCGUGAGUGAUGAAGGCUUUCGGGUCGUAAAACUCUGUUGUUAGGGAAGAACAAGUGCUAGUUGAAUAAGCUGGCACCUUGACGGUACCUAACCAGAAAGCCACGGCUAACUACGUGCCAGCAGCCGCGGUAAUACGUAGGUGGCAAGCGUUAUCCGGAAUUAUUGGGCGUAAAGCGCGCGCAGGUGGUUUCUUAAGUCUGAUGUGAAAGCCCACGGCUCGACCGUGGAGACUUUUGUAAACUUCAGACUUGUGAGCAGA